UAUGUGAUCGUCUCUCGCAUAUCAAUAAGCGGAGGAAAAGAAACUAACAAGGAUUUCCCUAGUAACGGCGAGUGAAGCGGGGAGAGCUCAAAUUUGAAAUCUUAAAGGGUUUCCCUUUACGAAUUGUAGUUUAAAGAAGUGUUUUCUGUUGAGGUUUUGGUAAAAGUUCUUUGGAAUAGGACAUCAUAGAGGGUGAGAAUCCCGUAUUUGACCUUUACUUUCAACUUUGUGAUACACUUUCAAAGAGUCGGAUUGUUUGGGAAUGCAGUCCAAAAUGGGUGGUAAAUUUCAUCUAAAGCUAAAUAUUGGCGAGAGACCGAUAGCGAACAAGUACCGUGAGGGAAAGAUGAAAAGAACUUUGAAAAGAGAGUUAAACAGUACGUGAAAUUGUCAAAAGGGAAGCGUUUGACACCAGUGUUGUUUUUCUGAAAAUCAAUUAAAGAACUGUUUAUGCUAAGCUGUUUAGACUUUAUCAGCUAUCUGUUUAGUUUUGAGCUUUUCUUUAAUGCACUUUUCAGUUAACAAGUCAACAUCAAUUUCUUUUGCUGUAAAAAAGCUUGAGGAAGGUGGCUUGAGAUUCGUCUUAAGUGUUUAUAGCCUCUUGCCUAUGCAGUCGGAGAGAUUGAGGUCUGCAGCGUAGAUCCUUCGGGGCUAAAUGCAUUUGUGCUAAGUUAUAGCAUUUUAUAGACAACUUGUUGACUAUGAUUUGUCUUGUAGCUUACUCGCUUAUGUUAUUUUACCUACGCUUAGGAUGUUGAGCGCAUGUCUCUCUCU
rnacentral:rRNA from 1 species